rnacentral:misc_RNA from 1 species
AAGUCGUAACAAGGUUUCCGUAGGUGAACCUGCGGAAGGAUCAUUAUUGAAUAAACUUGGUUGGGUUGUUGCUGGCUCCUUGGAGCAUGUGCACGCCUAAUCCAAUUUUAACCACCUGUGCACCUUUUGUAGACCUUUGAACAAUCUUCGAGGAUAAUGUACUCGGUUUGAGAAAUUGCUGGUGUGAAAGCACUCGGCUUUUCUUGCGUUCAGGUCUAUGUCUUAUAUUACACCCCAUACGAAUGUAUUUGAAUGUAAUUAAUAGGCCUUUGUGCCUUUAAACACAAUACAACUUUCAACAACGGAUCUCUUGGCUCUC